ACACCAAAAUAUCAUCUUAUUUAAAAAAUUAACUUAUUAUAUAUGGAUUCAAAAAAUAGUUUUAACAUAUAACGCCCUAAUAGUUCCAUAUCGGAUGAGAUACUGAUUCCGAUCAGUUUAUAUAAGACUUACACGCUAGUAAUAAUAAUUGGGCUUAAGCUUUUUAGACUGAUUAUUUGAGCCUAGCGGGGCCGACGGAAGGACACGUGGCAAUCGUUUUCCUUUUUUAUUUGUAAUCGGGCUGGGUGGGGUUAGUUGAGUAGAGAAAUUUUUGUUUUGGAUUGGAUUGGGCUUUAUAUUUAGCUCUUAGUAGAUUUUUUUAAAAAAAAUUUAGUAUAAAUGAGACACUUAUACAAAGGUGUUCCAAAAAUAUAUUCCUAUAAUCUAAUUUUGUUGUAGCGCACGUUUGAACUCGAGAUUUUUUACUAAACCCAUAACGUGAAUUUGACUUAAAUGAAAGAAAAUCAAUAAUAUGCUCGGAAUCUGGCAUGACUUGAAUUUAGAACCUUCUACUCUGAUACUAUGUUAAAUAAUACAAAACAAUCGUUGUACUCUAAAAGAUUAAGCUUAUAGAGAACAGACAUAUGUAUUCGAAUAUUAAGUGAAUGAAAGAU
rnacentral:lncRNA from 1 species